rnacentral:rRNA from 1 species
GACAGCAGUAGCCGCGGUAAUACGAAGGGUGCAAGCGUUACUCGGAAUUACUGGGCGUAAAGCGUGCGUAGGUGGUGGUUUAAGUCCGUUGUGAAAGCCCUGGGCUCAACCUGGGAAUUGCAGUGGAUACUGGGUCACUAGAGUGUGGUAGAGGAUAGUGGAAUUUCCGGUGUAGCAGUGAAAUGCGUAGAGAUCGGAAGGAACAUCUGUGGCGAAGGCGACUAUCUGGGCCAACACUGACACUGAGGCACGAAAGCGUGGGGAGCAAACAGGAUUAGAUACCCCCGUAGUCCCUGUCUCUUAUAC